rnacentral:rRNA from 1 species
UACAGGGGGCGCAAACGUUGCUCGGAAUUAUUGGGCGUAAAGCGCGCGUAGGCGGCUACUUAAGUCGGAUGUGAAAGCCCUUGGCUCAACUGAGGAAGUGCACCCGAAACUGAGUGGCUUGAGUACGAAAGAGGGUCGCGGAAUUCCUGGUGUAGAGGUGAAAUUCGUAGAUAUCAGGAGGAGCAUCGGCGGCGAAGGCGGCUACCUGGUCCACAACUGACGUUCAGGUACGAAAGCGUGGGGAGCAAACAGG